AGAAUGAGCCUAAGUCGGAUUAGCUAGUUGGUGGGGUAAAGGCCUACCAAGGCGACGAUCUGUAGCGGGUCUGAGAGGAUGAUCCGCCACACUGGGACUGAGACACGGCCCAGACUCCUACGGGAGGCAGCAGUGGGGAAUAUUGGACAAUGGGGGGAACCCUGAUCCAGCCAUGCCGCGUGUGUGAAGAAGGCCUUAUGGUUGUAAAGCACUUUAAGCGAGGAGGAGGCUACUGAGACUAAUGCUCUUGGAUAGUGGACGUUACUCGCAGAAUAAGCACCGGCUAACUCUGUGCCAGCAGCCGCGGUAAUACAGAGGGUGCGAGCGUUAAUCGGAUUUACUGGGCGUAAAGCGUGCGUAGGCGGCUUUUUAAGUCGGAUGUGAAAUCCCCGAGCUUAACUUGGGAAUUGCAUUCGAUACUGGGAAGCUAGAGUAUGGGAGAGGAUGGUAGAAUUCCAGGUGUAGCGGUGAAAUGCGUAGAGAUCUGGAGGAAUACCGAUGGCGAAGGCAGCCAUCUGGCCUAAUACUGACGCUGAGGUACGAAAGCAUGGGGAGCAAACAGGAUUAGAUACCCUGGUAGUCCAUGCCGUAAACGCUGUCUACUAGCCGUUGGGGCCUUUGAGGCUUUAGUGGCGCAGCUAACGCGAUAA
rnacentral:rRNA from 1 species